rnacentral:lncRNA from 1 species
UUAUAUAUUUUGAAGGAAUCCUAUAUAUUUGAUUACAUUUAUUAUUUUGUGACCUCAUUAAGUUAGUUCCAGGUUUUAGCUCCAUUAUGAAGGAACCGGAUAUAUUUGGUUACAGACUUACGGGUGUGAUCUGGUGAUCUCAUUUAAAUGCCGUUUGGUUGUUUUAAUUUGUGUGCAAUUUUGCUUACUACUCGGUUCUUCAAUCUCAUGAAGUUUUGUUUCUAUUUUUUGUUUUCAUCUGGCGGAGUAGGCACCAUUUGAGGCUCUAAGAUGCAUAACUGCACGCAGGAAGCAAACGGCGCAUUAAGGUGGUAAAGGUAACUCUAAUUUCUCUAUACGCUUCGACAUAGAUGGUUUGUCCAAAACAGAUGGUUUUUCAAAAACUAUCCAAACUGAAUAUCAAUAUAAUGAUAGUGAUACAGGCUGAAAAUUUAUUGGUUAAUGGCUAAUUACUUAUAUGAACCUAGUUAUGCAUUUUGUAAUUCUAUAGCUUGUGGGGAAACAAUUGUCUAUAUAUGUAGCAGCUGCAUUCUAUUCUACUACUGAAUUGCGGAAGAAUGUUGUUAUGGAUUAUAUGGUGACCUUCAACAAAUUCGCUGUUCCAUUUUUAGUUAGGGUUUUUGUAUAAAUUGGAUUAUGAUUAUGGGUUUUUUUUAUUGCCCUUAGAGUAUCAGCUAUAUUCGCUGUUCCAUUUUUAGUUAGGGUUUUGUAUAAAUUGGAUUCUGAUUAUGGGUUUUCUUAGGUGAAGAGGACUAGAGAGGUUUUGGAUUUGGUUGGCUCUGGAAGAUAGUGACUUGGUCUCUUUUUGAGGUCUUGGUAAUCCUUUCAAUUUUCCCUUGAUUUCAUUUUUAAUGUCUGCGGAUUUGAGCUGGUCCUUUUUUUCUUUGCUUUUCAGUUGGGGUUCGGAUUUUGUUUUUCUUUGAAGUUGAUUUUCCUUUCAUUUUCUUCUUCUCUUUUGUUCAUGCUAAUUAAUGAAGAGUUCUGCUGUGUGUGUAAUUACAAGUUGGUGGUAUUGGGAAUCCUCUUUGAUUUGAAGCCAAAAAGAUUCAGUAGGUAUUCCACUGCUCAUGUAUUUUAUGCAUAUGGCCACAGUUCUAAUUGAAAAUCAUGUAUGUCUAUUUGCUUCAGAUUCCUUAAUAAUUAUGUUUUUGAUUAAUUGCACAUUUUGUUUUUUAUGUAGUUCUAGAUUCAGACUUGUUUUUUCUCUUUGCAGCUAUUCUAAAAUGUAUGUCUUUUCUUUCAAUUUUGCCUACAAUGUUAUUGUUUCUUUGUGGCUCAGCUCAGCUUUAUGAUUUGAAUGGUGUGUUUUACAGUGUUACCAUACUCAAUUGGCUUAUCAUCAUUCUUUGCACUCCAUGUGCUUAUGCAAUAACAGAAUUGAGUAGUUGAUCCUUUCCCAAUCUACAG